ACAACAUUCGGUCGAACCGUCGGUCUACCGAGCAACAUCACCCGCUCGGUGGAAGAUUUUCCCUUUGUCGU
rnacentral:pre_miRNA from 1 species